rnacentral:sRNA from 1 species
GCCGGGCACAGUGGCUCGUGCCUGUAAUCCCAGCACUUUGGGAGGCCGAGGCGGGUGGAUCACCUGAGGUCAGGAGUUUGAGACCAGCCUGGCCAACAUGGUGAAACCCCGUCUCUA